rnacentral:tRNA from 4 species
GGGUGCUUAGCUCAGUUGGUAGAGCACCGCCUUUACACGGCGAUGGUCGGGAGUUCGACCCUCUCAGCACCCACCA